AUGUAGAACCUUUCUGUCUCAAAGGGACAUUCCACUGUCCAAAUAAUAAAAAAAAAACAACAAGAAACACUGUUUAGAAGAUAUAGCCCAAAUGAAAAAACAUGGAAUUAAUUUAGCAUUUUUUUUUAUUGGGAUAGAUCUUUUGUCUGCUGCCUUUGCAAGUUAUCCCCUUCAUCCCCAGCCCAGACUUUCUGUGUCGGUCCAAUCACAGACUUCCCAAUGCAGCUCGAUGCAAGGCAGGUGCUCUGGGCAAUUGGCUGCCUCUUAAGUUUAGCUCCACUGUGU